AGAACGAACGCUGGCGGCAUGCCUAAUACAUGCAAGUCGAACGAACUCUUCGGAGUUAGUGGCGCACGGGUGCGUAACGCGUGGGAAUCUGCCCUUGGGUUCGGAAUAACAGUUGGAAACGACUGCUAAUACCGGACGAUGACGAAAGUCCAAAGAUUUAUCGCCCAGGGAUGAGCCCGCGUAGGAUUAGCUAGUUGGUGAGGUAAAGGCUCACCAAGGCGACGAUCCUUAGCUGGUCUGAGAGGAUGAUCAGCCACACGUGGGACUGAGACACGGCCCAGACU
rnacentral:rRNA from 1 species